GUGCCAGCCGCCGCGGUAAUACGAAGGGUGCAAGCGUUAAUCGGAAUUACUGGGCGUAAAGCGCGCGUAGGUGGUUCAGCAAGUUGGAUGUGAAAGCCCCGGGCUCAACCUGGGAACUGCAUCCAAAACUACUGGGCUAGAGUAUGGUAGAGGGUGGUGGAAUUUCCUGUGUAGCGGUGAAAUGCGUAGAUAUAGGAAGGAACACCAGUGGCGAAGGCGACCACCUGGACUAAUACUGACACUGAGGUGCGAAAGCGUGGGGAGCAAACAGGAUUAGAUACCCCUGUAGUCC
rnacentral:rRNA from 1 species